rnacentral:rRNA from 1 species
GAUGAACGCUAGCGGCAGGCCUAACACAUGCAAGUCGAGGGGCAGCAUAAAUGAAGCUUGCUUCAUUGGUGGCGACCGGCGCACGGGUGCGUAACGCGUAUGCAACCUACCCUGUACUGGGGGAUAGCCCGGAGAAAUUCGGAUUAAGACCCCAUAGUAUUAUCAUUUCGCAUGUUAUGAUAAUUAAAGGUUACGGUACAGGAUGGGCAUGCGUCCUAUUAGCUAGAUGGUGAGGUAACGGCUCACCAUGGCUACGAUAGGUAGGGGGCCUGAGAGGGUGGUCCCCCACACUGGUACUGAGACACGGACCAGACUCCUACGGGAGGCAGCAGUGAGGAAUAUUGGUCAAUGGGCGCAAGCCUGAACCAGCCAUGCCGCGUGCAGGAAGAAGGUCCUAUGGAUUGUAAACUGCUUUUAUUUGGGAAUAAACCUCUUUACGUGUAGAGAGCUGAAGGUACCAAAUGAAUAAGCACCGGCUAACUCCGUGCCAGCCGCCGCCGUAACAC